AAGCAGAAGAAAAAACAAAAUUGCUGGCAGAAGAACAGUGUAACGUCACUUUCAUCACCAACAAAAAAAUCUGAUUGUUAUCGUUUUAGGUACCAGCCUAGAGAAAAAGCAGUCAAAGCUCUACCACUUUCAAAUUCAAAUUUCAAACUCUCUUCCUCCUCUCUCUCUAAACCCCAAAGCUUUUGAGACUCUGAUCGGAGAUCGAACACGAUGGAUGAAGAGUAUGAUGUCAUCGUUUUAGGUACUGGUCUUAAGGAAUGCAUUCUCAGUGGUCUUCUCUCCGUCGAUGGCCUCAAAGUUCUUCACAUGGAUAUUGAAAACUGAGCUCCUCCCUCCCUCAAGGAGGUAAACUUUUCAUUCCUGAAACCUGAAUCAUGUUCUCCCAUAAGUGUAGAAAAUGAACUAAAGUGUUUCAGAAUUCAAUUAUCAGAAUUUGAGGAAAAAGGAAUCAACCAUCUUGGAUGGCACAAGCCACAAUCUCCAAAAGGUUUUCUUCUCAAUCGAAUCCUCCAACCUGUUUCAAGAUCCAUCCCGCAGGUAAAAUUUUCAUACCUAAUUGAAGGAAUCACGCUCUCGCAUGACACAAUCAGGUGAGAGAGAUCCAAUAUAUUUUCGCUUUCUUGCUUUUAUCUUCUCAUGCUUUCUGGUUUUUUCUCGCCUCAUUUAUUGUUCUCUUUCUCUCUGUUUUUAUCUUUCACAACAAGAAAUAAUGGUAGAAAGUUGGUAUGAGAGGUGAAAAAUUCUUGACUACAUAUACUUAAGGUAAACAUGUUUUUUGGUGAAUAUAUGUUUGGUCUCCACUUUUAGCUCUGGUUCUGAAUAUACUAAUUGAACUUUUUUUUUUUUUUGGUGAUAUACUAAUUGAACUUUUACAGUCUAUAUUUAUUAUUUUAAUUUUGAUUGUAACUGAUAUGUUGCUUUGUAGUUUAUCAAUUGGUAGAGUUUAUCAAUUGGUUUUGCUACACCAAUAACUAUUGUUAUACAUGAAAUAGUGAAGAGGAUUGGUUGCAUCCUCCAAAAAAAAAUAGGUUUUGAUAUUUUAUUGAUUACAAAUUAGUAGAUCUAAUGUUUAUUUGUUUAUCUUUUUGAUCAGUUUAUAUGUAUUGAGCACACUAUUAUUUAAUUGUGAGAUGCUAAUUUGAAUAGUUUGGGAUCAAAGACGACUUUUUUUUUUUUGUUUUGGUAAAUUAGUUUGGAUUAUUGGAGAAACCAGUUGCUAUUUUUCCUCAAGUUACCCAUGUUGAUAGCAACCUCUUUUUAGUUUGAUUUCAAGUUAUUAACUAAUAUAAAAUAUCCUAUCAAUUGGUGUUUACCUCUUUUUAGUUACUAUUUUUUGUAUUUAUUCUUUUUAUAUCGAUUUUGGAAAAGAGGUUUUUGAAAAGAUUGUUGAUGACAGGGAUAUGACAAAGAUUGUUACCAUUAUUGCAUUCUCUUUGAUGAAAGUAAUAUUCUUGAAUUAGCUUCGAAAAUGUUUUCACAAAUUAAAGAACACAUAGGUUUCAAUUCAAUAAGAUUGGCUUUAAGAGGCAUGAAUUCAAAAAGAUUGGCUUUAAGAUUUCAAUUCUUGAAUUGGCUUUAAGUUUGUAAUUGUUUUGUCUAUUUUUUCUUUGAAAUCAGAAAUUAUUUACUCUAGCCAAUGUGGGUGACUAUGAGUUUGUCUAUUGAAAGAAUCUAAACAAUAUGCAGCUACUAAUUUGCAUGAGUUUGUCUAUUCAAAUUAGUAACUGUUGCUACUAAUAUGAAGCCCAUUUUCAUUUUUAAUUAGGAUAAUUUUCAUGAGUUUGUUUUGACUAUGAGUAAGUUUUAUGAACAUACUUAUUUCUUUUAGCUUUGUUAAACUUUGGCAUAUUACUUAUUGUGCACUUCAUGGAGAAAAGGAAUUAUUAACCUUUUUCUAUAUCAACAUUGUUGAAGGUUUUAGAACCAGUCUCUUUGAAUGCUUUUCAUUUUUGUUUUUAAAUAAUGCAAAUAUCUGAUCUAUUUCUUUUUUGGAUUUUCAAUUCAGCAGUUAACUUUUCAUUAUUAAUCUUUUUUGUGGUUAGAGCACAUUGGAUAGUGCAAUGGGUUGCUAGCUUUUUACCAAUAUUCUAUAGCCUUAUGUUCACUUUCAAUUUCAUUUGUAACAGAUGGUUAAGAAAUUUGUCUAAUCAUUUACAUUACCAAUUUGGAAUCCCAGUUCAUGCCUUGGACUCAAUGAAAUGUGUGGCUGCUGUAAAAAGGAAAGGAGUAGUGCCAGAAGAUGAUAUUUACAUUAAGUUUCUUACUUCCUUUUCAUUGAUGAAGAACGAGGAAGCAUCAUGAGCUCCAUUUUCCUUCCAAAGAAGAAACCCAUGGAUAUUGAAAACUGAGCUCCUCCCUCCCUCAAGGAGGUAAAAUUUUCAUUCCUGAAAUCCGAAUCGUGUUCUCCCAAAAGUGUAGGUUGUCUUCUCAAUCGAAUCCUCCGACCUGUUUCAAGAUCCAUCCCGCAGUUAUUGUGAGUGUUUUUCUGCCGGUGUUUACUGCAUAGAGCCCUGCUCCUGUCAGGAAUGCAAUAACAAAAUAGUGUCAUGAUGUUUGUAAAGUCACAUUAUUGGAGUGCUCAUUUGCUUAAAGGAGAAAAGAGAACAAGUUUGUUUGAAUGAACUCUAUCAAUUCCAAAUGAAAUCGCAAAACGGUGGUUCAAGAUUCAAGUUAAAUUGUGUGAAGGGAAUCCAAAGAUUUUGACCCCUUGCAGUAAAUUUAAAGAUUUGAGUAAUCUUAAGCUUCAAAAUAUUUACUAUAAUGGAAACUAGGAGGAGCAUGAGCAAACAAUUUUUUUUUGUAUGCAUCUUUUAUAUUUUGUCAUUGGGGAUCACUAUUUAAAUUUGGAAGAAGAGGUUAAAAAUAAGAACCUCAAGAUUUUAUGGAUACAUAUUAUUAUUUUGAUUCGUUUCCAAACUACUACUUGCAAGAAUUAUAAUUAUAUGCAAUUAACAGCGUACCACUAGCUUAUUAGUUAUUAUUACUCCGACUGUAAUGAUAUAGAGUAUAUGGGAAUCAGGCCUUGAAACUUUUUUAA